UGUUUUGCACUCAAGCUGCCAAAUCCUCCACCGCUGACUUCAUCCUCUUCCUGUCAACACUUCAUGGGAAGAAGCAAGAGAAAAGCUCCAGAUCUCGAGAUUGGGGGACGUUUGAGCCUGGCGUUGGUCCAAUUGAUGUCAAGAUCGACCAUCUCGUUCAUCGUCAACUUUGGCAUCAUCUUUAUUUUUGUUUUCUGGUUCAUUUUAGGAGAACACAAACUUCUCCAACUGUGACACUUAAGAUCUGAGAGCAUGGAGAGAAAAGCUAAAACAUCCUAUGUCUUUACGUCACAAGAUAUUCAUGAGGAAAGCCGCCGCAUAAAAGGAAGUUCAACUUGUUUUACUUCUAGUUUUUGAGUUUGUAGCACUUGUCUUGUAGGAAGAAAAUUCUAGGUUCAAAUUCUGUUUUGGGGUUUGAAUUAGAAUAUUUUGAACUCCUGUUUCCACUUCAUGAACCAUUUGAAUGAGAUUUCUCC